rnacentral:lncRNA from 1 species
CAAACAUCCAAAUAGGGUUUAUCAAAAAAUAAAAUCAAAUCAAAUUGGGGUAUUUUAGGCAUUCAAAAUUUUGUUAAUGUAUGAAGUCAAGCAUAAUUAAUGAAUUUGCUGAUGUGAAAUCUAGUCAAUAGGUUUUACUCAAGUAAAAAACUUAUGUCGGGUUUUAUGUAGAAAAAAUUAAGUUUUAGGGGCUAAAGUUAUAUUAUAUAUAUAGUUUUGUUUAAUGAUAGAAAGAUAAUAUAUGUUUCCCAGAUAUAACUCUAGAUGAUCACAUGAUUAAAGAUAUAAUAACAUGAGAAUACGAGGAUUUGCACAUGAUGACAUGCAAAAGUUACGGUCACGUGAUGAGUGAUAUGUUUAUGUCAUAUAUGUGUCAUUGUCCAUUUUCUUUGACAUGCUUAGGUUUCUGUCCGAUGUGUUUGACAGCAGACAUGCUUAUCUGUUAAACACUUAGUUUUGUGUCAUUUCAUGCCAUUUUCUUAAUUGUGUUCUUCUUCUUAAUACCCUUAACCUUUUAGGUUUGGAAGGCACAUAAUAAAUCCAAUAACCAGAGCUAUAUAUAUAAGGGAGGAUGAAGCUUAUUGAUUGAAAAUGCAGGGUCAUUGAUUCUGAUCCCACUCCCAUAUAUUUACACACGUACAUAUAUGGACGGAAACGUGACACCAUAAAAAAAAUACAAGUUUUGACACAACUCUUAAACCACUAAAUCUAUAUAUAUAUACUUUGAGUGGUUGAGAUGCAAUCUGAUUACUCAUUAUUAUUAUUAUUAUUAUUAUUAUUAUUUAAUAAUUAUGUUUUAGGAAAAAAAAAACUAUAAACUUUGUCAUUAAGAUUCUUUAUUCCCUCUCCAAUCUGGUUAUUGUUUUUCAUUAGAACUCUCUCUUUCCCAUUUAACUCUUUCUUCUCCCUUCCCUUUCCUCGCUGUUCAUCCUUCCCAGCCAUCUUGUUUUCUAUGGCAUCCCUUGGAAUGUGCUGAAAACAUAUAGAAUCUCACCCAUAUAAGAAGUUGCACAACCUAGUUAGGUAGCGUGAAUUCUCUCCCACUUAAAAUCAUGGGUAGUGCUAUUCAUACACCUCAUUUUACUUCUCAUAUACACUUGUUAAUAUUUAUCCAUUAAUCUUCGUCUAUUCAUUCGAUCGAACAACCGAAAAUUAAGAAGAGUGUGUGAAUAUAGCACCACCCAAAAUUAUCUAUAACCUAAAGGUACUUGUUAAACUCGAUCUAAAAUCUUUGUUCUUGGACUAUAAUUAAUUGAAAAAAAGAAUGAAAUUGUCACGCAUCCCAUGAAUAGCAAACUUAUUUGAUUGCAGAACACUAACUUAACUAAUGUCUAAAAUAGCCAAUAUACUUGUACUUAAUUAGCCCUGAUUCACAACGUGGGAUAUGAUUGAAGCCUACUAAAAUACAAAUUCAAUUAAAAUGAUGCAAAGGCCAAUUUUUUAAGUUCAUUAAGCAAUAUCUAUAUAUUAAGCUUGAUGUUUUGCCGAUGAAGAUAAGUUGAUGCCCUUAUAGUUUGUUUGUACCAUACUUGACCAAUCCCGAAACUACUGAGUACCAGUCAACGUUAUAUUGUCAAGUACCCAGAGUUUCCCUCCAACCAGGAGGCCAAUCACAGUGCGACACGUGUCGACAUCAGAAGCCAAUCACAACACGGACACGUGUCAAUGUCAGAACAAAGCUAGAAACUCUCUUCUAUAAAAGGAGAUCAUUCUCCCACAAUAUUUCCUAAUGUUAUUUGUACUAAAUCAUUCACUAGUACUCACUAAAUGAGAGUUUGAACCUAUGUACUUGUGUAAACCCUUCACAAUUAAUGAGAACUCCUCUACUUCGUGGACGUAGCCAAUCUAGGUGAACCACGUACAUCUUGUGUUUGCUUCCCAUCUCUAUCCAUUUACAUACUUAUCCACACUAGUGACCGGAGCAAUCUAGCGAAGGUCACAAACUUGACACUUUAUGUUGUACCAAAGUCCUCACUGAUUUUGUGCAUCAGCAUUUGACGCCGUUUGUGAGAACGACACUUAUUCUCAUUCUCUUCAGCUUUGUCAAGCUGGUUUCCACCAUUCGUACACUCUCUUUUGACCAGGCAUCCCUUUCCAACAUGAGGAGUGAAGGAAGCCACAACACACAGAAUGACACCCAUCUUGUACUUAGUGCGAAGCAACGAAAGAAGGAAGGAAAGAGGGUUGCUCUUCAAGCUAAAGUCGAUGAGUUAGAAGCUCA